GGAAAACUUACCAGGUCAAAACUAUGGCGGGAUUGACAGAUUGAUAGCUCUUUCUUGAUUCGUGGGGUGGUGGUGCAUGGCCGUUCUUAGUUGGUGGAGUGAUUUGUCUGGUUAAUUCCGAUAACGAACGAGACUCUGUCCUGCUAAAUAGUGUCUGCUUCUCUUUUGAGAAUUGAGCAAUAA
rnacentral:rRNA from 1 species